rfam:Canis lupus familiaris chromosome 6, whole genome shotgun sequence.
CCCGCUGAAUUUAGGUAUACUUUAGUCAGCCUGCAAAAAGAACCUAGCCAGGAUUCUCUCAGUAAGGGUGAAUGAGCACCCUGAAAGUUGAACUUUGUAGGGCUUUCAAGAGGGCGUUAAGAGGUAAAUAGGUGCAGUCCGGCAAUCCUCCUGGGAGGAUCCAACAGGGCAGCGUGUGUGGCCUUGUCAGCAGUCUGGUGGAUUUUCCCAUCCCUCCUUCCUCUGGACCCCUCCAUCUGCCCUCCCUCCUCCUAGGAGGGGGUCUCUGUUGGUGCAGGGUGGGGCUGGUGACCAGACUCAGCGCAUUUCCACGGCUGCAGUGCACCUCCACUGGCUCUGGGUCGGGAGGGAAGGCUGGCAGGGAAGAUGUUUACAGGGUGGGGUGCUGCUCUUUCUGGAGGGUGGGCUCACCCAGCAGUGUUACACCCCCACCUCCACAGCAGCUCUCCUGAAUUCAUGGCCAAGGGAGCAGACCAGCUUUCCCCCCUCUGAGGGCCCGCCCUCAGGGAGGGGCAUGCUGCUGUGAGGGGGGACUGCCUCCAGCAACUGGGCCCCCAGCCGGUCCAUGCGCUAUUUGUGACCAAAGCACAGGGAAGUGAAUGCAGGGGGUCAUGGGUAAUGUUGACCACCCAUCCCACACAUCUUGAAACAUGGACCAAGUUGUCUAAUACGUGGGCCAGUUGGGGACUCUCAGGAAAGCCGCUGUGGGGCAAUGAAGGUGAAUGCUGGCCCUGGUAACCUGCAGAGGUGGGAUCCCGAGACCUCUCUGGUCCCCCAAGGGUGUAUCACUGGCCCUUCUUGCCUGCUGCGCCAGGAGGUGGAGCAUGAGCACAGGUGUUAGGACCAGAAAGGUGGUGAAUGAUGCCUGGGCACAGUGAAGCCAGAGGAAGCUCUGCUGGAGGUCCUAGUAUGCAAAUCCGUAGUCCAACCUGGGUACAGGGGCGAAAGACUACUGGAGCCAUCUAAUAGCUUGGUUCCCUUCCAAGUUUCCCUCAGGAGAACCGGCGCUCUCACAUGAGAACUCAUGCAGUUUUAUCUGGUAAAGUGAAUGAUUAGAGAUCUUGGGGCCAAUUGUAAGGGAGCUGGGUUCAGAUCCCCGAAUCCAGGGUGUUGGAGAUGGUCUCCUUGAGGUGUCUAGUGCAGUAAUACAAUGAUCUGGGAGAAGCCAGUGGGAGCCUUGGGGAGAGUUCUCUUUUGUUUGAGAAGGGCAGGGUACCCUGGAAUGGGUUCACCUGGAAUUAGGGGCUCCUGCCUUGGAGACCUUGCCAGUUCCUAUGGUAUCCAGGGAGCUCUCACUGGCGCUUGAAAAUCUAGGGGUGAGGAUGUAAAUCUCGCACUGGGCCGUACCCAUACCCGCAGCAGGUCGCCAAGGUGAACAGCCUCUACCACAUAGGAAUAGUGUAGGUAAGGAAGGCGGUAAGGAUUAGGAUUGGGUCUAAGCCCUGGGUGGUUCUGGCUGAGGGGGGAAGUGGGGUGGGUACCCCCCAGGGAUGGAAGGAGGCACAGGAGGCGUGAGAGCCCCCCACUCCCCCACCCUCAUGCCUCUAGGCUGGUCUCCUCUACACCACCCUGCAGGGGUCCCCACCCCCUCUCUCCUCUCUCUCUCCUCUCCCUCUCCCUCCCAGAUGGGGGGCUGGGAGGCAGGUGAGUGCACUGGGGGGACCGUAGGGCUAGGUCAACAGCAGCACUACUGACUCUGGAUGUGAGCCUAGCCCUUCCCAGGGUUCUCAACCCCCUCUGCCCCUGCUCUUGCACCCCUCAUUGCUGAGGCAGUCAGUGCAGCCCUCCCUCCUCCCCAUGGUACCUAGCAGCCUAUUUAGAACUGAUGUGGACCAGGAGAAUCCAACCCUUUAAUUAAAACAAAGCAUGGGGAAGGCCCACAACAGGUGCUGACAUGAUUUCUGCCCAGUGUUCUGAAUGUCAAAGUGAAGAAACUCAAUGAAGCAUGAGUCAAAGACAGGAGUAACUGGGUCUCUCUUAAGGUAGACAAAUGCCUCGUGGUCUAAUCAGUGAUGGGCAUGAAUGGAUGAAUGAGAUUCCCACUGUCCCUCCUACUGCCCAGCAAAACCACAGGCAAGGGACAAGGCUUGG